UCAGACAUGACUUAGAGACUAAACCACAACCAGACCACUAAUUCUGUAUGACGUCAGUCCAUUUGAGGUUUGUCUGGCGUUUCUUUACAGUGUAAUCCACGACAGGGCUCUCGUCAGAUUUCAGCCAUGGGCAUGAGGGUGAUGUGGCAGAAACUGUAAGAUACCUGUCUGGGUGACACCUGCUGCUGCUUCUGGGCCUGCAGUUCCUCGCAGAAUUUCAAAGAAGCAUGUUCAUACUUCUUUCAGCUGCAGGUGCAGGAUAAAGCCAGAUUGUGCCUCCAGCUCAAGGCUAAACUGACACCCCAAAAUACAGGCACUUAUUAAUUGAGGAGCAAAAAUGUAUGGGCUCAGUUUUAAAGAAGCAAAAAACUAUGAAGUACAAAGGUUCCAAAACGAUUUUGUUGAUUACUUAUAAAAUAUGCGACAGAACAGUAACCAGUAAAAUAAUGAGGGAAAAAGAACAUUCCUCAGGGCAAUUGAUAAGCAAUUUUACCACGCCUCAGAUUUAACCCUUUUGCAGGAAGAUGCAGAUGACUAAAGCUCUUGAGUUUUACAGCUCUGGUACAAUGGUGACAGCCCAGCCUGGUUUUCAAAACACCUACAUCUGGACAGUUGAUACCCAUUUGCUCCUCAAAGGAUGUGAGCAGAACAAAGAAACACUCUUAACUAGAAAUGCUACUUAGAAAGAAUUUCAAAAGAAUCCGAAGUGGAUUUCAAAAAUAUCUUGUCUCCUCUGUAAAGAAUGGCUUUCGAGAAAUGUCUAAUGCUGUUUCUGAACUAAAGCUAGUCAGUAAAACGGUUUGUUUGACUUCUAUUUAUUUUCUGAAUACAUGGAAACCAUGUCCAAGAACAAACUUUUCUUGGCAUCCUUGGCAUUUGUGGGAAAUAAAAACCUCAUAGGAAUGAAUAACUGAAGUCAGCCCACCAACAAAAAAAUAUGUGAAAGUGCUCAUCAACAGUAAGUUCACAAGCAGGUAUUGUAUGCUUAUUAUUUUUCCUUCUCUCAUUAGUUUUCACUAUUUCUAUCAUUUUCUUUCAAAAGGAAGUGGAGACCCAUACACACAUGUCCACUCACUUGGAAGGAUUUCUUGGAGGGGGUCAAUAACCUGAUUGCUAAUUCAGAAAAACGUUCCUUAGAACAUGGCUGUAUUUGGAGAUGCAGACUUUAAAGAUGCUGGGCCCUAAUCCUUCUUCAUAAACACACACACAGGAGGAUCACAGGAUGGCACAAAGAGAAGAGGCUCAUCUGCAAGCCAAGGAGAAAGACCUCAGAAGAAACCAACCCUGCUGACACCUUGACCUCAGGCUUCUAGCUUCCAGAUUUGUGGGGAAGUAAAUGUCUAUUGUUUAA